GAUGAACGCUGGCGGCGUGCCUAAUACAUGCAAGUCGAGCGAACGGACGAGAAGCUUGCUUCUCUGAUGUUAGCGGCGGACGGGUGAGUAACACGUGGAUAACCUACCUAUAAGACUGGGAUAACCUCGGGAAACCGGAGCUAAUACCGGAUAAUAUUUUGAACCGCAUGGUUCAAAAGUGAAAGACGGUCUUGCUGUCACUUAUAGAUGGAUCCGCGCUGCAUUAGCUAGUUGGUAAGGUAACGGCUUACCAAGGCAACGAUGCAUAGCCGACCUGAUAGGGUGAUCGCCCACACUGGAGGUUGGACACGCUCCAGGCUCCUACGGUACGGCCCAGUCGGCAAUCUUCCGCAACGGUCGAGAGCCUUGCGGAGCGACGCGGCGUGUGUGAUGAAGGUCUUCGGAUCGUAAAGCCCUCUUAUGGGGGAUGAACAGAUGUGUAAUGAGCUGUGGAGAUCUUGACGGUACUUGAUCAGAAAGCCCCGGCUAACUACGUG
rnacentral:rRNA from 1 species